CGGGGUGUAGCUCAGCCUGGUUUAGAGCGCCUGCUUUGGGAGCAGGAAGUCGCUGGUUCGAGUCCAGUCACCCCGA
rnacentral:tRNA from 1 species